UCUCCAGGAUGUCGACGUAGGAGCUACGCCCGCCGCCUCCUCUCUAUCCUUCCUUCUCUCUCGCUUGCUCGUCGCUGCCUCUUCUGUUCGAGAAAGGCGUAACACUGCCUCAUCUUCAAACAGGCAUCGCCUCCAAGACGAGGAAGGGCUCGCGAAAUCACAUCAGUUCCUUCUCUGCAUAGAUCGGUUUGGAUCCCAGAGAUCUGAAUUCUGAUUGGCCUGAUCUUGAAGAGAUUUCACCUGCAAGAGCAAUCAGUCAAUCUCCCGAUGUUAAGGGAUUGAACUAGUUUGCAAACCUUUGUAUCAACAAGAUGAGGAACCCUAUUUCGGAUUUGGUCUUGCAACUUGACAAGGAUAAGAGAUCAUGAGAGUGCGCCCUUGGGAGCUGCAUCGGGGACUCAUGGGCGGCGCAAUUGGAGAGGGUGCUCGGGAGUUGUUGAGAGACGCAACUCUCGCUAGGGGUUUAGGGAAGGAAUGGUGCCUUCCUUCGAUAUCUUUAACCAAUUUUAGCUUGCUUGAUGGUGACCUAUUAUCUGGUUGUCUAUAUUGCUCUAGAUCUUUGUUAAUCUGGGUUGUUGGAUCCAUUAACCAAAUAAAAUAAAAUAGAUCAUAUUCUAUGAUGAAUCCAACCAACAAUUUUUUUAUAUCUUUCUUCCUUCUAAAAUCAUUAUUGUAUGGUAUUUUAUAGGAUAUCUGAUACAGAUACAGAAAACUAAUAAAGGAUACCAUCGAAUGACUAAAUAUCGAAAUGGAUCCUAUUUGAAUUCUUUUUUUUAUUUGUUUUGUAAUAAAGUAAGUAGAUCUAUUUAUACAUUCAGAUAGAAAUACACUAAAUCUUUCUUUAUUAACUGAGUAAUGCUUGAAUAACUAAUCAAAGAUUUAGGGGUUUUCUUUUCUCUGGAUUAUUUCGUUAUUCUGAUAAUUGUGUUUGUUUGCAUUCUAAGGAUGAGUAAAACUAGACUAUUGCUGGUGAAAAAGGGUAUUAGAUUUGUGCAAAGUGAUAUAUGACUCAUAGGUCAUGUUCUGAUGCCAACGAUUAAUUGUAAUGUUUGUUAUGAGAAAUAAUGCGUGCUUGAAUUCAUUAGUGGUAUUUUGUGGUCAGGUCAUCCAUACCAUCUUUUUGAUGCUUGGUUUAAGGUCCUCUGUAGAAAGUUUUCAGAGUUUUCUUUAUUGAGUAAACUGCCAUAUAGUUGUUCAUCAAGUAAUGUUUCCUCAUUCAAAGUUCUUUCAUAUAUGGUCAAUUCCAUGCAAAUCACAACAAAUAGAAAGCUGAUAGAGAAUACUGCUCCAUUAGCAGGGAUGGCCCAAGUGCAUUAGCAAUUGGAAAACCAUAUUGACGCAUGAUGCAGAGCAUCUCGGCACCAUAUUAUCCCAAUAUUGGGAUAACCAUAUUGGGAUAAUCAUAUUGGCAAUAUGGUGACUAUUAGCAUACAGUCCAUGACAUAUUAGGAUAAUCAUAUUGGCAAUAUGGUGACUAUUGGCAUAUGGUCCAUAGCAUAUUGGGAUA